rnacentral:sRNA from 1 species
UGACCGCUCUUUAACGGGAGCCAAGGCCAUACGGACAGCCGGGUCAACUGCCGA